GUGGGGAAUCUUAGACAAUGGGGGAAACCCUGAUCUAGCCAUGCCGCGUGAGUGAUGAAGGCCUUAGGGUCGUAAAGCUCUUUCGCUGGGGAAGAUAAUGACUGUACCCAGUAAAGAAACCCCGGCUAACUCCGUGCCAGCAGCCGCGGUAAUACGGAGGGGGUUAGCGUUGUUCGGAAUUACUGGGCGUAAAGCGCGCGUAGGCGGAUUGGAAAGUUGGGGGUGAAAUCCCGGGGCUCAACCCCGGAAUUGCCUUCAAAACUCCCAGUCUUGAGGUCGAGAGAGGUGAGUGGAAUUCCGAGUGUAGAGGUGAAAUUCGUAGAUAUUCGGAGGAACACCAGUGGCGAAGGCGGCUCACUGGCUCGAUACUGACGCUGAGGUGCGAAAGCGUGGGGAGCAAACAGGAUUAGAAACCCCAGUAGUCC
rnacentral:rRNA from 1 species